AUUACCUUCUUAAAUAGUUUAACGCGUUGAAACUGUAAUUUGACACCAUGAAAAUGGCACAGACCCUGGGUAUGAUGUAUCAUUUUAAUUGUUUCCUGCUAAUGAGAGAAGAACAGAGCCCUGAUCAAAUAUUUGAAGGAUAUAAGAGGCUGCAGGAGGCCAAGUGACUUCUGGAAACUUGGGAGGAUGAAGUUUCCUGAUGGUUCUGAAACCUUUUACCUCAGAUUGAGACUUGAACCCAGCCAAAACCAAGUUUGGGACUGAAACCCAUGUGGCUGGGACUCACACCCAGCCAAAAUGCCCAGUACCUGGUUUCAGACCUAAUGAAGCUCAGGUUCUUGAUGUCUCAUCACAGAAAGAAUUCAGUGAGAGACAAAGUCAUAGGUCUGGCCAAAGUGCUCUGAAUCCAGAAGGCCUUCCUCAUUCUUUUAACAAAAACUUACUGGGACCUCGGUAUGUGUCAGCCCCUGAUUGUCAAGCUGAGGAUAUCAAGCAUCAGUCUUUUCCAGUGAGUCAACUCUUCGCAUGAGGUGGCCAAAGGAUUGGAGUUUCAGCUUUAGCAUCAGUCCUUCCAAUGAACACCCAGGAUCGAUCUCCUCUAGAAUGGACUGGUUGGAUAUCCUUGCCGUCCAAGGGACUCUCAAGAGUCUUCUCCAGCACCACAGUUCAAAAGCAUCAAUUCUUCGGCGAUCAGCUUUCUUCACGUAUAUUGUCACCCUGCUUAUUUAACUUAUAUGCAGAGUACUUCAGAAUAGAAGGGCGCCUCUGGAGUGAUCAUCCCUGGGGACGGAGUUUGCCUUGGAGGGAUUCGUCCCACCCCUGCUGUCACUGUCACUGAAAAGUAAAGUCACACGGGAAGGAAGGAGAUGGAGUAAAAAAGGAAGGAGGGAAGAAGGAAUUAAGGGAAACAGAACUUCCACCCCACCCCACGCCCGCUCCACCCUCCCCACCCCCAGCGUCCAACAGUUAAGGCUCUGUGCUCCCAGUGCAGGGUCAGUAAGCUAAGAUCCCAUAUGCUGCGUAGCAUGGCCAAUAAAAUAAAAUGAUGGAG
rnacentral:lncRNA from 1 species